ACUGGUGCGUGAGAAAGAGAGGGAAGGAGGCAAGAGGGUGAGAUGAGCGAGGGAGAUGGAGAGUGGCCGGAAGCCAUAGCUGCUGUAACAGUGAGAUGAGCGAGGGAGAUGGAGAGGGGCCGGAAGCCAUGGCUGCUUUAACAGAGAGAGAGAGAGAGAAACGAUGGGUGGCUGUGAAGAGAGAGCAAAACUAUUGGAGAGAGAAACUAUUGGUAGGUGAGAGAAAAGAGUUAGGAUUUAGGUUUGUAUAAAACCUUAAUUAAUUCAUGUUAAUUUUAGCCCAAAAUAUAAAUGUGUCUUGUUUAAUGGGACAACCCGAAAAGGAAAGUGUGUCUUAAAUAAUGGGACGGAGGG
rnacentral:lncRNA from 1 species